rnacentral:lncRNA from 1 species
UGACAGUGAGCUCUAAGUCAUCCUGACAUUAGGAGUCAAAGGGAUUGAAUUAUACAGUAACCAUAGUCCAGGGUUUCAGAAUAUUUGCUUCGCAUAUAUUCGGCUUAUCCGGACGUCGGGUACCAUUGCUAGAUGGUCACAUCGAUUAGUAUAGAAAGACGUUCCUAUACUACCGGCUUAGGUUCGAACCUAUGAGGUCACAUGCAUAGAAGUUU